AGAGGUGUCAUGUAGAGCAAGGGGCGGGGCCUCAGGAUACAUUGAGGUGGGAUGCUGGGAAUAAGACAUUCAUGGAAAGUGUCAAUAAUUUCAUGAGCACAGAGAUAGCAGCACAGUCAGGCUCUCAGGACCAGAGACACACAGGAUGGUCUAAGUUCCAAGGAGAGGGUAUCAGAACCCACAUGGCAGAAGAGGGGUUAUCUACCUACAUCUCCCCAAGAACAUUGAUGUUUCACAGCACAAUCCUGCAGCCAUGAGUUCUGAUUCUCAGAGAGGAGACAUAGAAGGGGGUGGUAUUCAGGAAUAUGUGGUCACCAAUAACCACUUCAAUGUAAACUGAACUCUCUGGUGAGAGAUCCUGGCACUAAGAGGUCUAUUAUUUUGGGAAUAAGAGAUGAUGUCUCACAGGGAGCCUGUGGGUUACCCUGAGAGGCAGAGGACAACUGUUCAGAGUCAGUUUUCUCCUUGUACCAUUUGGAUCCCCACGAAUCACACAGGUCAUUGGGCUAGACUCCGUUUCCAACUGAGAUAUCUCACUGGCACAUACUAUAUUUUGCUGAUAAAUAUGUAAUUUAAAAUACUUCACUUCAAAUAAAUUUAGAAAAUAUUGUCUGUGAUUUAUCACCAUC
rnacentral:lncRNA from 1 species